GUCUACGGCCAUACCACCCUGAACGCACCCGAUCUCAUCUGAUCUCGGAAGCUAAGCAGGGUCGGGCCUGGUUAGUACUUGGAUGGGAGACCGCCUGGGAAUACUGGGUGCUGUAGGCU
rnacentral:rRNA from 1 species